GUCCCAAAAUGUCUAGGUAGCCAAAUGAAUGCAUUUGCCAAUUCGUGAAUAUGUAGAGACGAUAGCGGGCAGACUCCUGGAUGUCCCUUAAAAUAUUUUGCUUCGGCGCUAACAUUUUUAGUUUUACCGCUUCAUGAAAACAUACGCGCUUUUUCUCCCAGGAAAAAACUAUCAUAUAAAUCGCCCAUAUUUUCCUCAUCGCCUCUAUCUUUUCAGCCGCCACCACAGAUCUUCAAUUGCUCAUGGAAGAUCUAUUCAAUUUCGAAAAAAAUUGUAGAUCGAGUCCGCCCGUCCUUGUGCUUCCACAGUUCCGCUCAGAUCCAGUCGCCGAGACGGACACGAGGUGAACCCCAUCGCGGUGUUGUCGGUCUGCCGGUAGCGAAGUGAACCCCAUCGCCCUAGUAGCGGCAGGCCUCUUCCGUGAGGUGCAGUGCGUGUAGGCGUGCACCUAGUGGUAGACGGCGUAACCCAUUCUAGUGGUGCUUCUGUCCUCAUACGAUGGGAAGAACACACCCAGGUGAGACCUUGUGAGUGCCUAUUUUAAGGUUUGAUCUGUUGUUUUCUUUCCCACCAUUUGUUUGACAUCUAAAAUCUGAGGAUUCAUAUUGUAAUCAAGUUUGAUAUAGCUAGCUUACCGUAUUAUGUGUCACAUUUACUGAACGAAAGGAGAGACUGAUUGUGUUCCUUUAGGAAAAGUUGUCAUGUCGAGGAUACCUAACCGACUGCGAAAGACCAGUUUUUACAGAACGAGAUGCAGAAAAUGUACACCUAGAUGAAUAUGGUUUACAAGGUCCUGCACCGAUUGAUAACGUCUCAUCGGGAAUGUAUAAUGAAUCUUCAGCCCAAGUAACAUAAAUUGUAAGUUUUGCAUUUCACUCCAAGAUAUAUAUGGCUGUCAUUUUCCACUGUCAUGCAACAGAACUUCCACUCAGUUAUCAGACCAUAUCAUGCACGAGUAGUCUUUUUUAGAUCUGGGAUUUUCUUGAUUUUAUGAUGCAGAUUUCAGAUCAGUAUGGUGUAUGAACCUGCGGUCAUGGUUGACGCUUGGCUAAGUGGAUUACAUGGUAGGUGUGCUCUACCAGGCAUCAGCAGGCCAGCAGCAGGCAAUGUACAGGUGCCAAUCCAGAGAUGAAGUGCGUGACAGAGCAGAAGUAGCAGCGUAAUUAAUCUAUGCCUCACAUAUUGAGCUAAUUCUGGCAUGAGUUGGCCUGUUGUUCUGUAAGACCGCAACAUCUUGGUUUGGUUAGCUACCUCUCGGAACUGAAUCCGUACAUGCAUUGUGUUAAUUUUCAUUUAUAUUGCUGCC